rnacentral:rRNA from 1 species
ACGAACGCUGGCGGCGUGCCUAAUACCUGCAAGUAGAACGCUGAAGAGAGGAGCUUGCUCUUCUUGGAUGAGUUGCGAACGGGUGAGUAACGCGUAGGUAACCUGCCUUGUAGCGGGGGAUAACUAUUGGAAACGAUAGCUAAUACCGCAUAACAAUGGAUGACACAUGUCAUUUAUUUGAAAGGGGCAAUUGCUCCACUACAAGAUGGACCUGCGUUGUAUUAGCUAGUAGGUGAGGUAAUGGCUCACCUAGGCGACGAUACAUAGCCGACCUGAGAGGGUGAUCGGCCACACUGGGACUGAGACACGGCCCAGACUCCUACGGGAGGCAGCAGUAGGGAAUCUUCGGCAAUGGGGGCAACCCUGACCGAGCAACGCCGCGUGAGUGAAGAAGGUUUUCGGAUCGUAAAGCUCUGUUGUAAGUCAAGAACGGGUGUGAGAGUGGAAAGUUCACACUGUGACGGUAGCUGACCAGAAAGGGACGGCUAACUACGUG